AUGUCUUACUAUUAUAAGAAGGAGUACUUGAAUCCAAAGGAUAUCGUGAAGUGUCCAGGACCUUUGGAAAACAAGAGAUUGUCUUUACUGUUGGAAAAGACAAUCACUAGGGAAGCCCAGAUAUGGAAGGUGAAUGUGCUGAAAAUGCCCAUAAAUCAAUUUCAUGCCAUUGCAGUGUCAGCUAGGCCUUAGUUACUUUUCAGUUUGCCCACACUGAGCCCAUCUCAACAUUUGGCAGUCCUCACCAAGCAACUGCUUCACUGUAUGGUCAACUUCUGCAAUUCAAAGGAUCCAUGCUUGCUCUGGCCAUGGUUAGUCUGGAAAUGGAGAAAUUUAUUCCAGAUUGCCUUCCUCUUAUGAUUGAAUUGCUGCAGAAAGCACAGAUGGAUAGCUCCCAGUUGAUCCAUUGUCGGGAGCUGGUGGUAUAUCACCUUUCCACUCUGCAGUCUUCCUUGCCUCUAAAUUCCGUUUAUGUCUACCAUCCCUCAAGCACACCUUGGUGACCUGUGACAAAGGAGUGUUCAGAUUACAUCCCUCCUCUGUCCCAGGCCCAAAUAUCUCCAAGGACAACAGCAAGCCAGAAGUGCCAGUUAGAGGUACAGCAGCUUCUACCAUCAUCUCCCAGCUGCCAAUGGGUGCAAGCAUACCUCUGCUAAACGCAAAGUGGAGGAGAUGUAAGUGGAUGACUUCUAUGCUGGAAUCAAACAGCUCUAUAAUGCUUCAGAAAAUGUGGGUUCUGUGUGUGGCACUGAUUUAUCAAGACAAGAGGGACAUGCUUCCCCUUCUCCACCAUUGUAGCCUGUUUCUGUCAUGUAG